rnacentral:rRNA from 1 species
CCUACGGUGUGCUGCAGUGGGGAAUAUUGGACAAUGGGCGAAAGCCUGAUCCAGCCAUGCCGCGUGUGUGAAGAAGGCCUUCGGGUUGUAAAGCACUUUCAGUGGGGAAGAAAGCCUUGGGGCUAAUACCCUCGAGGAAGGACAUCACCCACAGAAGAAGCACCGGCUAACUCCGUGCCAGCAGCCGCGGUAAUACGGAGGGUGCGAGCGUUAAUCGGAAUUACUGGGCGUAAAGCGCGCGUAGGCGGUCUGAUAAGCCGGUUGUGAAAGCCCCGGGCUCAACCUGGGAACGGCAUCCGGAACUGUCAGGCUAGAGUGCAGGAGAGGAAGGUAGAAUUCCCGGUGUAGCAGUGAAAUGCGUAGAGAUCGGGAGGAAUACCAGUGGCGAAGGCGGCCUUCUGGACUGACACUGACGCUGAGGUGCGAAAGCGUGGGUAGCAAACAGGAUUAGAUACCCCGGUAGUC